rnacentral:rRNA from 1 species
AGUGGCGAACGGGCGAGUAAAGUAUCGGAACGUGCCCAGUCGUGGGGGAUAACGUAGCGAAAGUUACGCUAAUACCGCAUACGAUCUAUGGAUGAAAGCGGGGGAUCGCAAGACCUCGCGCGAUUGGAGCGGCCGAUAUCAGAUUAGGUAGUUGGUGGGGUAAAGGCUCACCAAGCCGACGAUCUGUAGCUGGUCUGAGAGGACGACCAGCCACACUGGGACUGAGACACGGCCCAGACUCCUACGGGAGGCAGCAGUGGGGAAUUUUGGACAAUGGGCGCAAGCCUGAUCCAGCCAUGCCGCGUGCAGGAUGAAGGCCUUCGGGUUGUAAACUGCUUUUGUACGGAACGAAAAGGUUUGGCCUAAUAAGCUGAGCUCAUGACGGUACCGUAAGAAUAAGCACCGGCUAACUACGUGCCAGCAGCCGCGGUAAUACGUAGGGUGCGAGCGUUAAUCGGAAUUACUGGGCGUAAAGCGUGCGCAGGCGGUUAUGUAAGACAGAUGUGAAAUCCCCGGGCUCAACCUGGGAACUGCAUUAGUGACUGCAUAGCUGGAGUACGGCAGAGGGGGGAUGGAAUUCCGCGUGUAGCAGUGAAAUGCGUAGAUAUGCGGAGGACACCGAUGGCGAAAGGCAAUCUCCUGGGCCUGUACUGACGCUCAUGCACGAAAGCGUGGGG